ACUGCCAUGUAGCCGAGGACAUGGCCUCUGCUUCCUCAGUUCUCCAGGGAUACAAGUGGUUCUUUAGGCUGGUCACUUGCUUGAGUCUGAGCAUGUUCUGUCUCUGGUCUCUAAGUCUAAAGAAGCCACCUAAUGCAGCUGUCCGCCGGGGAAGGGGGAGGGAGCCGCAUGUACUUGGCAUGUAUUGUGUGCCGGGUGUGUUCAUGCAUGUUAUAGCGGUCCACUCUCCCAGCUUCCCUUCAUCCUGGUAGUAUUAUUCUUAUUUGAUAGACGAGGAAACUGAGGCUCCAAGAGACCAAGGCUGCAGAGCCUGAAAACCAAGAUUUGGACCAAAAGCCAGUUCUUCCUGAUCCCAGAGGCUGUGUCCUUCCUUCUGCUCCACGAUGCCUUGUUCUCGGUGGGCCUGGGGAGCGACAGCUAGAAGUUAAAGGACAGGCUGCUUUGGGAAGUGUGUCCGGUGCUGGCUGGAGAUCAGCAGACUGCCCGUGAGGUGGGGAGCCCCUGGUCACUGGAGCUGUGGACACAGAGGCUGGCAGUCUUGUAGCUGUGGUCCUGUGUCAGUGUGUCCAGGGAAGGGGCAGGACUGGGACCAGCUGACCCGUUGGGGCCUUUUGCUCUCAGGGGUGGGCCUGCUUGGGCCUGCUUCUGGGUCCGUCCCCCCGUGGAGGGAGGCUCUGCAGCCAGCUGCUCAUUAUCUGUGGAUCCUCCGAGGGGACCCUGCCAGCUCCCAAACAGGAAACGUGUCCAGAAAGCUGUAAUUAGAGCCGGGAGCCACAGGCCUGAGAGGUGCCUACCACGGCUUCAAGUGUGGACACGCCACCCUGGUGAAGUCCCUGGGAGAGAACCCGAACCCCAGAAGAGAGGAAGCGUCCACCACUGUGCAGGUGAGGAGCCGGAACCUCCAGACGUCAUGUGAUUCAUUCAAGGUCAGCCUACGGUGGCAGAGAGUAUGGCAGAAGUCACCCUAAGUCAGCAGGGAUCAUGGAACUUCCAUUAUGUUACUGGAACACUCAUUUCUGGAGCCCGGAGCCACCAGGACUGUGGGUUCAGAGCCAGUCACUUUGGAGAUGAUGGUAGCACGGGACUUGCAAGACCUGCCUCCCCCAAGCCUGGGCAUCAAGACAGGUGGUAUCUGUACCCACCUCUCUGAGUGACCUCAAACACGUCCCUUGACUCAGAGGCCUGAGCUGUUAAAUGAGACCCAGAGUCCUUGCCUGCCUCCUGUCCGUGCUGUUGUGAUAACCAGAAGCUUUUUGUUCUAAAAUGUCUCCCCAUCUCUCAUCUGGAAUGCCGUGCGGAAGCUAUUCCCCAGGGGAACGGUGUGUACCUCCUCGCUGCCGACUCUUGUUGCUGAGAGCAACAAAACCCCUCCAAAAAAACAAAAGACAUCAGUGCAUCAGAAUUCACGCAGCGGCUGGUGGUGUUUGAGUUGGAAAUCACUGAGGUGGUUUGGUUUCUGUUCGGUAU